AUGGUAUACAAAACAACAACUAAUCCAAACCUAGAAUUAACAUAAGCACAGACUGUGAUGUGAAAUCUUAUUCUUUUAUCUCCUUCUUCACAAACCUCUUAUUCCUUUAUCGCCUUCACAAAGCUCUUAAAGUUCUCAUAAGAUGUUCCUCCUUUUGCUAUGUUCUUCAUCACUUUCUCCUUCAACACCACACACCUACAUUUUAUGUUCUCAUCAUUAAAGAUCUGUUCCACUUUGGUUUUCAACUCUCCGCGUGACACAACUCCAUUUUCAUCUUUGUCAAUUCCCAACCCAACCUUUAACUCAUCACAAAUAUGUGUUUUGUUGUAAGGUUGGUCUCCCAAGUAUGGCCAACACAACAAAGGUACCCCAUUGGACAAACCUUCCAUGGUAGAAUUCCAACCACAAUGAGUGAGAAAACAUGCUAUGGCAGGGUGACUUAAAACCUUUUGUUGAGGAGCCCAAUUCACUAUCUUACCCUUAUGCCCUUGGAAUUCAUGAGGGUAUGCCAUUUUAUUGUCUUCUCUUAUAACCCAAAGAAAAGGUCUAUUGGUGAGGUCUAGUCCAAGGGCAAGUUCAUUGAAUUGGUUUUGGUCAAAAAGAGUGAUACUACCAAAGGCAACAUACAACACAGAACCAUCAGCUUGUUCAUCUAGCCAACUCAUGCAAGAGAGAUCUUCUUCCCAGAAUUGCCCCAAUGAUCUUAGAGUUACAUUAGUUUUGUAAUGAUGAUCACUUCUCAACAGCGGACCAAUUGGAAGGAGACUCGGAACAAGGGUUAAUACGUGAGGUUCAAGUUCAUGUGCAGUAUCACAAAGCCACCAUUGAGUCAAAUUUAAAGCUGGAAAACAGUGAUGCACCAAGUAAUUAAGGUAAUGAGAACCAUCCAUAAGUUCAGCCAUGUGAAACCAAAACAAGGUUCUUGUGUCCAUCUCUGGCAUACUUGGUGAUAAUUGAAUUGUCCCUUUUGAAGUUAAUAUGGAUCCUGCAAUGAAACAUGACAUAAUUGAGAAGUAAAAUAUGUUUUUAGAUGGGCAUGGUAUUUAUUAAAACAGGACCAAACAAAAGCAUAAGUUGCCAGACUUUAGAAACAAAAGUAUGAUAGUGUUCUUACCAUCUGAAUCUAUGAUCCCAUCAUCAACGAGCUUUGGAACACUGCUUACCAAAUGAAACAAAGUUGCUGCGGCAGGCCAAAAUAGAGCUCCUUUGAUUCCCAAUUCACAGGCAACAUUCAAUAUCCAUCCAACAUGUACAUCUGCAACAAUAAACCUGAUUCUGUUGUCACCUUUCAAAUGAAUAUUAUUAUUAUCCUCUAUGAGCUUUUUAAGUGCUUCUGGCACGGUGAUUAGCAUAGAAUCACAUAGCUUGCCCAAGUUGUUUCUGUCAUCAUUAGGUCCUAAGCCAUCUGGGAUUGAGACCAACUUCAGUGGCGAUUCUUCAUUGUAUUGAUCCACCAUUGAGCUCACCACUCUCUUGUGGUUGAAGUCUGUGUUCACAAAUAUGACUCUGCAUCCAUUCUCCACAAGCUUUUGUGAUAGGGUUAACAUGGGAUUCACAUGCCCUUGACAUGGAAAUGGGAAAACUAGCACAGUUGGAAUGCUCAUGCUGUGUUCUUGUGUUUGCACUUCACGGGUAUGGCUUUGUUUAUAUACUCUGAAAAUAUGACUACCAAUUGUUAUAGGCUCAUUGGAUCAAGGAUAAUUGGUAAAUAUUUGGAACCACAAAUUUAAGUUUUGUUUUUAUCUGAAUGUGAGUUGUGUAUGAUUUAGUUAUCUAUAAUGUUAAUAGAAAUGUUGAGAAUUAUGGUUAUUGUUUACUGUGUAGCCAAAUCAAUUUUUUCUUCUUCUUUAAUAUAAUAUGAUUAUACAAAAUUGAGUUUGGUAGUUGAAUUGGAUUGUGAAAGUGCUGGUACCAAAGAAUAAGAAAACUUUCCACCUAUUGAUGGAUCCAAUUGAUUGAUAAGGGAACCAGAUGCUCGUCCUUGGCCAACUAUGCCAGAAUUUGCCCUUUCAAAAGCAAUGGUGUUGUAACGACCACAUCCCAUUCAAAUUCCAGGGAAUUUUUGUUAUUCUGCAUGCAGUACAGAAUCCAAUUCUACAGUACGUUCACGAUAAUGGAAGUAAGUUAUUUCUACUCCAAUUUUCAUAACGAUCAUGAUGAAAGGGACAUGUGGAAGAUUUUUCAGCGAAGUGGAGGAUUAAAAGACGUUGUGAUUUAAAAAGAUUAAUCGUAAAAGGGCAGAGGUUUGGUUUUGUUAGAUUUCAGGAUGUUGUAGACGUUGCUAAUCUAGAAAAAAGGCUUAAUAUUAUCUGGAUUGGGACAUGGAAGAAUAAAUAAACCAAAAUAUAAGAUACUCGGCUCAAUUACAUAUCUAACACCAUUUACACUUUUAUUUCUUCAUCUAUCAUUCUUUUGUUUUUAUUUCCCUAUCUAGCACCAUUUCAAAAAUAAAUUAAAAAAAUAAUAAAUUAUUAUUUUUUGAUAAUUUUAAUUUUGAAUGCAUUAAAAAAUAAUUUUUUUAAUGUUUCAAAUAACUAGAAAUAUAAUUAAUGAAUAAAUAAAUGAGUUUUUACAAAAUAAAAAUAAAAAAAUAAUAAAUUAAAAAUGUUUAGUUUAAAAUUAUUAUUUUUUAAAAUGAACAAAAAUAAAAAAUUAAAACCAACAACAACAUAAAAGUUGAAUCCUAUAAACUAAAUUACUAUUUAUUUUUAUCAUCAUUGAUGAAGCAAAUAUUUAAAUUCAAGUAAAAAAAUCCAUCAAUAUAAUUAUAAAAAACUCUAAAGUUAAAUUAAUUUAAUUCACUACCGGUAACUUUAAAUAAUUAUUUUAAUNNNNNNNNNNNNNNNNNNNNNNNNNNNNNNNNNNNNNNNNNNNNNNNNNNNNNNNNNNNNNNNNNNNNNNNNNNNNNNNNNNNNNNNNNNNNNNNNNNNNUCAUUUACAGAUGAACAGAUUUAUUUUUCAAAACGAAAACAGAGAAAGUUUAACUAUUUAAAACUCAGUCGUUUUGAAAAGAAGAAGACUUAGUCAAAAUACCUGAUGCACAAAAUCUAAUUUUUACAAGACUUUAGCCAAGGCAUCAGUGAAGAAAAUGAAUCUGUUUAUUUAGAAAAGAACAGAUUUAUUUUUAUGCAGUAAACGUGUUUUUGUGUAAAACCUGUGAAAAACAGUUUAAGAAAACUUAUGCUUGUUCUUAACACAUGGCCAGUGGUUAUGAGGUGAGUUACUCAGCAAAAAGCUACUCUUAGACAACCUCUAAGCACUAACUAAGACAUACUUAAAGCAAAGCAAAAAUACAUGAAAGGUACAUAAAAGUCUUCAUCAAACACUACAUAUAUGUCUUCAUCAAACACAAUCUUGAAGGGGCAGCAACCAUCUUCAACAAGAACAAGAUGUCAUCAAGUACGUAAGGGUGCGUGUGAGGGUUCCAGUGGCCAGAGAAGCAUGCACGGUGAAGAAUGUGAGACUUAACGAAACAUUGUGUAAGCUAGUUAUAGAGGAGGAGACUUCCAUCACGAGUGUCUGUGUAUGCGGUCCUCAUUAUAAGUGGAGGGAGAUGCAUGGAAGGGAGUCAAAUGCUGAGUUGGAGGAGAAGUUUAGAGAGGAGUUCUUUGAGUCAGAAGGCUUCGACUACAAUGAUCAAAAUGAUGCGAGGGGGAAUGCCAACAAAGAGAAAUCAGUGAAAUUUCAGGCAAAGGGAGUUUCAGGUGCCGGGGGAGGCACAUGUAUAGGUAGCUCAAGUAGAGGUAGGGAAUCGAGGCAUGGAGGAGGUUACACUAAUUUGGAGGGGCACGUUGGCGGCAUGAGAAAAGAAGGUAUAUGCAGGACAUCCUUUGAGGUUGUGUCAAUGCAACAAGAGGUUAAUAAACCAAUAUGGGAUGCUACGGCUACGCGUGCUAAGGAGGUUAACCUAAUGGUUAUUGGGUCUCGAAAGGCCCGACGGAGUGAAGGGAGUAUGUUUAGUGUUUUCAUGGGUUUGGGCCCAAGGAAGGUGGAAGUUGAACAAUUAGGGGGUAUUGCAAGCACACAACCCACGAAAUGGCAGCUAGAACAACGUUUACGCUGGUGAGGGGAGGAACGGUGCGUUGCGAGUGAGUAAUAGAGGAAAACAGGUGAGGGGUAAGGAGAAGCUCCUAUUGUGGUUGGGCGCUUGCGGAGGAGAAGGUGUCAUCGUCACAAAGACAAAAGAGGGUGCUGAAACAUAUCAAUUGGUGCAGCGGAGCUAUGACAAAUUUUCCCCAACGGUGACGACGUUUAUAAGUGCCUUAUUUCAGUAAUAUUUUAUAUUAAAAUAUAGGCAUUUAUGAGUAUUAAUUUCUAAAUUACAUAUAAAAAAAAUUCCUAAUUUAUAAAUUUAUGCCUUUUUAUUUUUUAUGAUCUUUAUUUGAAUAAGAACAUUUUAUUCCCAUAUUUGGUGUCAAUUGCAGGUUUCUAGGGAAGAAUGGAGAUUUGGACUAAAGAAGAAUGAUAUAAGCUAAAAAGAGAAUGUUGGAAGGUCUAGAAAGCACAAAAAGAGGAAAAAGAAGUCCAAUUCAGUAGCAGAGUUCUCGCUCAAGCAAGUUAUAUCUCGCUUGAGCGAGAGAGCUCCAACAACGUUAUCAAAAUCGACGCCUUUCUCGCUCAAGCGAGAAUGCGUCACACAAAUUGGACCAUUUUUAUGUUUUAUCAAUAGACCCAUCAAUGCGACGCAGAAAUUCACCUAACCCUAGUAAAUUAGGUUAGAUAGGGGGCUAGAGGCUCAACCCUAGUGUGUUAGAUUGAGAGGAAAACACCUUUGAGUGAUUUGUAACCAAUUGGGAGAAUGGAAGGUGCUAGAAGUAUGCUUGGGUAAUUCUACCCUUUGGAAUUGGGAGUAAUCUGUUUGAACUCUUAUGUAUUGAGAUGAUGUUUAAAUAUGAUAUAAUAUUCUGUUCUUGAUUGAUUAUUGGUAUUGUUGUUUUGCUUCUAAAUAGUUGUGACAUGUUUGAGAAUCUUGAAUCCGACUGAGAGGUAUUUUUCAGGGUUCUGACCUAAACAACAAUACUUAAUAUAUUUGACUGUUAGAGAUAACUUGAAAUGUCAAUUGCUAUUAACGUCUGAGCGUGACUCGGAGUUGUUUUUAUAAGUAUGCGAGAGAUCGAUAUUUAGGAAACAUUCUUAAGAAUUUUAUAUGCGAGAGAUUGAUAUAAAUGAUUUUUCUACGGGCAUCAAUUUCAAUCAAAGAACUUAAUGUUAACAUGCUAAUCAAAAUACAUGAGAGGGAGAAAGAUGAAACCUAAUUCCUAUUUUUCCAAUUGAAGCAAUUACUCUUUGAUUUGUUUUCUUGUUAAUUCUUGCCAUUAUAACAAUUUUCAAACCAAAUUUUUAUUGUUUUGUUUUAUAUUUAUCGAAUAUUGUACUUGAUAAUUCAAUUGUUCCUUGUGCGAUCGAUAUCCAUCCUGAUAUCCAUCCUUAGGGACAAAUUAUUACUUUUGACAACGCGAUGUACUUGCCGUAAAAAGUCAUCAGGCAUUCCCGACUUCUCCACUGCAUUCAUUUGGAGAAGGCAGCGACCAAAUGGGACGGAUAAGGGUGGAAGUUUUAAGUCUUCGAGCUGCAAUGGAAGGGCGACCACGGAGGAGAAGGAAGACAACGACUUAAGGGGAUGUGCAGCUUUGGAGGAGGGGGGGUGAAUAGUUUAAAAGAGAUUUACGAAAUUUUUUGAAGAUUUAAUGGAAUUCUGUGAAGAAAUCCAGAAGAGGAAUCAAGUUAGCUAAGAACACAAACUGUUUUAAAGCAAAACACAGAAAAACAAUCGGUUGUUUAUACCAGUUAAAACUUAAACAACUUAAAAACAGAAUUUAAAGGAGUUCAGAGAAAGAGAAAUGCACACAAGCAGUUUAUACUGGUUCACUCUUACAACAAGAGCUACAUCCAGUUCCCAGAAACCACUAGGUAAUCCACUAAGCAAUUAAACCAGAUUACAAACACCACACACCAAAGUAGUGACCCUGAACCCCUCAAGAAACACAUUACCUUUGGCAAACCACACCAAGAGUAUUGAUCUUGAACACCUCAAGAACACACAACACUCCUUAGCAAUACAACAACAAAAAUACAAAAGAUUGAGAAAGGAUUACACCUGAUCAAAGUACAAUAUGAAAAGAAUACAAUUGCAAUCCUAUUUCACUCUCACUUGAAAAUCCAAAGCUUGAUGUGAAUCUUGAAAACUUGAGAUCAAAAGAUUGGUCAAAACAUUUAAUAUUAUCCAAAGAUUGGUCAAAACAUUUAAUAAAGGAAUGUAUUCAGUUAGAAAUCAUUUAAGACAGAUUCACCAUUCAAAACAGGAUCCUGUUAGGAUUUUCAAAGUUGAAACCACAAAACAGCCGAUUGAUUUGGUUUGACAGUUAAGUCAACCAAGUCAAACAACUUUCAGCCUUUUUCAAAACAUCUAAGAACAAAACAACCGGUUGAUUCGACAAAACAACAAGUUGUUUUUCACUUAGUUGAAAAAACAUUUAAUUUCAAAAAGGUUUUAAUUCACAUCAGUUUUAGAUUCAACAAAAGAGUGGAUCGCACUUUAAUCUACCCAGAUCCCACCCACACAUAACAACAACACUAGCCUUUCAUCAAACACCUUGGAUUUGGAUUCUUCAAAGCUCUUGAUCACUCUUGAUCAAUACAGGGGAGAUGUAAACGUGAAGUUCGACGAAAUUCGAAUUGAAGCCAAGGGAGAUGGAGAUUUUUCAAAAAGAGAAGCGGAAGCGAGAAUAUUGUCGGGGGCCACACCGAAAAACUUUUCGGUGCAGAAUCAAUGGGAAAUAAGGUUAGAUUCUCAGAGCUCGAUCAAUUGCUCUACUCAUAGUGCACUUAGGAAUUGUAAUAGGUUGUUUUGAAUGAAAACGAGUACUCAAAAGCUGAUAGAAUUUGGAAUGUUGGUAAUGAGGUGGGGUUUUCCUUUCUCGGAGAGGGUGAUGUUGUUAUUGGUCAGCUAAAAGUCAUGGAGGUUAGAGACAAAUCUGCAGGUAGGAGGGAGGAAAUAAGCAGGGUGGAGAAUAGUCUGUCUAAUGAGUAAGCUAAUUAGUAUGAAUAUAAGAGGAGUGAGAGGAAAUAUUAAAAGGAAAUAUCUACGUGAGUUGAUUAAGAAAGAACAAGUAUGUUGACAGGAGGCAAAAUGUAAGGAGUGGGGGCAAGAAGAGAUUUUUAAAAUGUGGGGUACUAAUGAAGUGGAUUGGGUUGAAAAUGGAGUUGAAAACAAUGCAGAAGGGUUGAUCACGAUGUGGAGGAAAUGUUGCUUUCUUCUUAGUAAUUUUAUCAACGGGAAGAAUUAUAGUAUAAUAGAAAGGGAGUGGAGAAUUGAAGAGCCGAUACAGAUCACUAUUGUUGACGUGUAUAAUUUCGAUUCCUUGGAAGAAAAAAGAUCAGUAUGGGAGAAUGUCAGAGAGAGCAGAACGGUGCAGGGAUCAAAGACUUGGUGCGUGGUUGAAACAAACUUCAAAUUAUAAUUUUUAUUUAAUAAUAAAUUUUUUAUAAAUAAAAAAUAAAUUUUGUUAAGAAUUCAAUUGGAUCCCAUAUUUUUUUUUUUAGUUUUCUUUUCAACUAUUUUUUUGUGUGGAUUCUUCUUAUCAUUUGUAGAGUAGCUAGUUACAUGAGCAACAACUAUUUUUGAACUAUUCCAUGUCCUUAAGGAGAAUCAUCAUUCAUUUGAUCUUGAAUUGCAACAAUUUCAGAAUGUAUAUAAUUGAACAUUUCUGGUUCCUUGUACUUUUCAGACUCAAUUAAUAUGGACCACGUGAAAAAUACCCCAUCAACUAAAUGCACUUAAGUCUUUUGUCUCUUGCACCCCCAUUGUCAGAACCACGUGGCCCAUCACAAGUUUUCACAGUGUCCUUUUAGAAUUUUUCAAUCUUUUCUCAGUUUGCUUUCUUUAUUUGUAUAUGUAUUAUUUGUGUACUUAUUGAAAACUUUAUUGUAUCUAGAUUAUAGAUUUUUUUUUUACUUUAAAGUGAUUCAUAGAUUUUACUAAUAUUAGAUAAUUUUUUACAUUAAAAAUUCGUACAUUUUUAUGAUUUUUUUAGUUUGUUAUUUCUUUUAUCAAAUUAUUUUAAUAUAAAAGUGUCGGUUCAAAUAAUUGGAAACUUAAGUGUUUAUACACUUUAUUCAAAUUGGACCAAUUCAAUGGGAUGUAAACUAAUUGGGUACUGGAAGGAUAUAUAAGAAAGUUAAAUGAACUAUUAUGAAAGACUAUUUAUAUUAAUUUUACCUUUAAAAGUUUACAUUAUGUUGAUUAAAAUAACUAAUAAGUAGAGAUAAAAUAAAUAACUUUAACUAAGGUUCACUAUAAGAAAAUCAUGAUCAUAGAAACUAAAAUAAUUAGUUGUAAUAAUAAUUAAAUUAGAGAUCAUUUUAAAAAUUAAAAAGAAAUUAGUUUUUAUUAUUGUUAAAUAGUUUAUAAAUUUGUAUCUAAUUUGCAAUUAAGGUUUUUGCUACUGAAAUUAGAAACUAAUUUAAAAACUAUUUUUUUAGUUUUUAAAAUGGUUUUCAAUUUAGUUAUUAUUGUAAUUAAUUAUUUUGGUCUUUAAAAAUUGAUUUCUAUUUUAUGAUUUUCUUGUAAGUGUCUAAACUCGAAUUUUUAUUUCAAAGAUGUUAACUUAACAUUUCAAAUCUUUCAAUUUAAUUUAAAAUAAGUUGUUAGAUGUAAACUAUGUAACAUAAAUACAGAUACGGACACUGACACGAUACGGAUAUGGAUACGGACAAAGAGAUACGUAUAAUCUGUAAAAUGUAGGACACGGGGACACGGAUCUAUAUAUUAUAUAAUUUUAAUUAUAUAAAUUGAAAAUAAAUAUUUAUGUGCAAAAGUAUGUUUCAGACUCUUUUGGGAGUAGGAAGAUAUUUUUCAUGACUGGUUCAAAAGAAUUUGUUCCUUAUUUUUAUAAUCAUAAUAAAAAUUUAUACAAUAAAUUUGAAUUUUUAGAAAAUUAUUGUAUUUAUACCUUUUAAAAUUGUGUUAGAACCGUGCUAGAAUUUUAAAAAAUUCAACAAAUUUUUUUGAAUUGAACACUUCACCAAUAAGUGUCCUAGGAGUGUUGACACCGAUACGUGUAUCCGACACGGAUACGCCUAUUUAAGAGAAGUGUCCGAGCUUCAUCCUAACUAUCAUAAAAAUGUAAGAAGAGCAUUCAUUUGGGUUUAGAUGGUAAUAUAUAUAUAUAUAUAUAUAUAUAUNNNNNNNNNNNNNNNNNNNNNNNNNNNNNNNNNNNNNNNNNNNNNNNNNNNNNNNNNNNNNNNNNNNNNNNNNNNNNNNNNNNNNNNNNNNNNNNNNNNNNNNNNNNNNNNNNNNNNNNNNNNNNNNNNNNNNNNNNNNNNNNNNNNNNNNNNNNNNNNNNNNNNNNNNNNNNNNNNNNNNNNNNNNNNNNNNNNNNNNNNNNNNNNNNNNNNNNNNNNNNNNNNNNNNNNNNNNNNNNNNNNNNNNNNNNNNNNNNNNNNNNNNNNNNNNNNNNNNNNNNNNNNNNNNNNNNNNNNNNNNNNNNNNNNNNNNNNNNNNNNNNNNNNNNNNNNNNNNNNNNNNNNNNNNNNUAUAAUAUAUACAUAUAUAUAUAUAUACAUAUAUAUAUAUAUGUAUAUAUAUAUAUACAUAUAUAUAUAUAUACAUAUAUAUAUACAUGUAUAUAUACAUACAUGUAUAUAUAUGCCUUUUUUUUUAUGUUUAUUGGAUCUGAAAAAAAAUCUAAUAAGUCAAUACAUAAGUAUAAAAUGAAUAUCAAAUUAAUUUUUUCGUCACUUAUCAUUAAAUCUUUAUACGUGUGAGUUAGUUUGAAGUGGAUCAUUUUAAACAUAAAUACAACUGAACACAGUCAUAAAUAAAACUUCAACUCAACCUAUUGAAUUAAAUUAAAUUUUGCAAAGCUUGUGUUAUUUUUAAUUAGGUUGUAUUAUUUUUUUUAAUUAGAUUAAUAUUUAAAAAUUAUAAUUUUUAACGAAAAAAAAAAUCAAAAUUUUGAUCCAAUCUUAAUCCAACCAUCUAAAAAAUGAAUUGGAUUAAUUUGUUUAAUAUGCAAAAUUUAAAAACAAACUUAACCAACCUUAUUUAUUUUUAAUUGGUUGAAUAAUAGAAUUUUCUAGAUAUACCCAAUAGGAAGCCAUUUAAAAAUUAUAAAAAAAUAAUUUUUUUUUAUCAACAAAGAAUUAAUUGAAUUAAAAUAGAUCACUUUAGAGAUGUCUCGACCCUUAAACAAAAUCCUCCAUUCUUUCCACCUCUUACUCUAAUUAAAACUAGUAGUAACCAUUACAUCAAAGUGUUACAUCUCUCGUUAUGCUUUAUAUCAACCCCACAAAUAUGACCAUUCAAAACACUGACAAAGGUUCAUAGUUGUUCCCCUUCCAAUGGCUACCCAGUAGAGUGGGAGAUGUGGAUACAACUUCAGAGUGAUUAAUCCAGCCAAGUCCCUGCACGUUCCCAGCUCAUGAUCCAAAAAACUAAGAUUUACUCCUUCAUUUUUUUGAUCAGCAACGAAUUAAUAAAAUUUAAAAGAGACACUUUAGGAGUGUCCCAACCUGUAUACAAAAGACCUUAAUGUCUAGACUGUACGCAUAAGCUAAAAAGGUUCUGCUGGACAUAAAAGAGCCAACCUAAAAACUUAUGGAUUACCCAUUUACCCCAAUAGACAAAAAAACAACACAAAAGACCCUCACUCACCACCUAAGACAGAAAACAAACUUAACCCCUAAAGAAGUCCACGAAUACCUCCAUAGCACACCAUAUCAGCACUCUACAAAACCACCAGCUCCCUCCACGCCAGAAAAAGAUAUGCUAAGUUGACGGUGUUGAGUAGCACCUGUUCUCCACCGCAGGCUCGAUACUCAACAGUCCCCUGUAACUACCACACACCAACCACGCAGCUGCUCAUCUAGAACCAGUGGAUACGGAUAGGGAACCUGCUUAACUUCUUGUGCUUUGAAUAAGACACCUGAAGCUCCAAUCUGAUAUGAAGUCUUCAAACUUGCAGGCAUUACCAGAGUACCUUAAGCAACUUACAACUCGAGACGCUCACAACCGAUGCCCUCUACAUUCACCUCGCCACGCAACGAGUUACCCAUGCACAUUGCCUUCGACGACCACCGACUACGUCCAUAAAGAGCACGCCACUUCCUCGACCGGCGAUUAUCUUUGCAUAACUUCGACGACCACCGACCGAUGAUCAUGUUAGCCUUUGCAUCACUUCGACAUCCACCGCCUACGCACGCAUUGAGAUCGCCGUUUCAUCGAGCGGUGAUUCUGUUAACCUUGUAUAACUUUGGCGACCACCGACUACAUACAUAUGGAGCACGCCGUUUCAAGUAGCUACGGCGACCACCGACUACACACAUAUGGAGAACGCCGCUUCCUCGAUCGGUGAUCAUAUUGACUAUCGCCGUUUUUAUUACCGGCGAUCAUGUUGAGCGUUGCAUCACAUCGGCGACCACCGACUACACAGAAAUGGAGAGCGCCGCUUCAUCAAUCGACGAUCAUGUUGAUAUCGCCGUUUCAAUUACCGGCGAUCAUGUUGAGCUUUGCAUAACUUCGACGACCACCGACUACACACAAAUGGAUCAUGCUGCUUCACCGAUUGACAAUCAUGUUAACCUAUGUACAGCACCACUUCACCGACCGGCGAUCAUGUUGACUUGCAUACCUUCAACGAUCACCGACUGUAGUACCAUCCUCUCCAGAUUUGCUACUUCAGAGACCUACUGUACCCAUUUCACUUCCUUUCUCCAACCAUAGUGGCUAUUACCCAGUCCUUACCCUCCUUCUUUCCAGCAGCACCACCAUUAGCCCGUCUAGCCUGCUAUAUGCCUCCCCUUGUUAUUUGAUACUGCAAAUGCAUGUCAGCGGGUUCAUAACCCAUUCUGCAUAGGAGUAACAAAAAAUAUUUUCCUUGUGUUUCAACCAUAACCACGAUUUAAGUUGGGCAUUGUGGAAAACUUCUUCUACAUCUACAACUCUUUGGUUGAAGACAAUGGAGUUUCUAUGUUCCUAUAGACAUCAGACUACAGCUGCCCACACACCUUUCCAUACCAGGUUUUGUUUAUAGGAGUGUUGGGGGAGGGAAAAACCUUCAAAAUUGGUCCUAAGAUUAUUGUGUUGGACAGACCAUAUACCAACCCAUCUAAAGCAUAAGUCCCACACCCGUACUGCAUACUUGCAUUCUAUAAAGAGGUGCUGACACGUUUCCUCCUUGGUCUGGCAAAGGGCACAUUCUGUGGUGUUCACCAUCACCCCUCUCUUGCUCAAACACUCCCUUGUUGGUAGUCUACCCAACAACACUCUCCACGCAGUGAUCAGCACAUUAGGAAACGCCUUUGUCUUCCAAAGAUAGCCAAACGGCGAUAUUUGUGUUCCUCCGUCGGGCUCUUCAAGGCAUUUAUAUGCAGACUUCACUGUAAAGUUCCCUGAUUCGUCCCUCCUCCAUACUUGCUUAUCCUGUUCAUCCUUUUUCAUAGUGACCCUGGAAAUGAGCAUACCAAGCUCGGUUUCGAGGGGGACCUCCCACUCAAAUCUGUUGCGUCUCCACCUUAGCUUCCACUGCCACACUGACUCCUCCCACAUCCCAACCUCUCCCACCGUCUGGCCCUGAUAUAGUGACAAAGAGAAUAGUCUAGGAAACAGAGCCUUAAGGCUGGCAUUCCCAGUCCAUAUAUCCUCCCAGAAUCUUGCUUGAUCUCCUUUCCCUACUUUUCAGCUAACCUCUUUUUUAAACCAACCCUCUCCCCCUCCCUGCCGGCAUACCUUUACUAAAUCUCUCCACCACCAAGAUUGAUGUUUCAGUGGGGUAUGGUUUCCAUCUUGUUCCGUACCAUACUUUGACUCCAAGCACUCUUUCCAUUUUCCUUUCUCGUUCGAUAUACAUCUCCACUUCCACUUAGCUAAAAGUGCUAUAUUAAACUUCCGGAUGUCACGAAUGCCUAAACCUCCUUCCUCCCGCGGUUUACUCCUUCAUAUCCUUAACCAAACCUAAUUUGCAGUAUCCGACAGAUCAAGAAUAUCACACUAGAAUAACUGCAACGUUCUUAGCACAUUGGCUCCCUUCUAGUUCAUUGGGUUCAAAUGGGCGCAACCAGAGGAUCUUAAUCUUCAUCACCAACAAAAGAAUAUGCCAGCAGCACCUAAAGGCAUAUAGCAUAACGCAUAUAAAAACCAGAGUAACAACAUUAUGACACACCCUUCAGAGGAACAUGCGCCUUACUUAACCAAGUUGAAACCAUUCUCACAAAGAUCCUACCCUACCCAAUUACUUGCAACUUUUGAUGCAUAGAACAUGAUUUAAAUGUCAGUCAGAAAACGAAAAAUUAAAGGCAUUGAGCAUGUAUUUCAACUAUAGCAACGAUCUAAGUUGAGCCAUUUGGAAAACUUCUUCUGCAUCACGUACACCUUGCUUAAAAAUGACCAUGUUCCUUUGAUCCUAGAUACCUCUUACUAUUGCCGCUCAUAUACCCUUCCACACUAAGUUUUGCUUGGAAUUCAAAUACACCAGAUGAAAGCUUUCAAAAUGAACCUUCAAAUCCUUAUGUUGAACGUUCAGAGUACCUAUCCACUUGUAGCAAAGAGACCAAAUGAUAUGAAUCCAAAUAGAAAUGACAGUAAAAUUGGGAAUUUAGGGUUACGGAACGGAAUAAAUUCAAAACAAUAACAAUAGAAACCUAGAUAAAGGAAGGCGCCACAAACAAAGUUUGAUAAGCCUAAGGAUGAUCACCACAAGAAUUGGUGGAUUCUUGAUAAGAUCGCAAGAUGCAGGAAAAAACCCUAGCAGAGAAACACUCUCUAAAAUUGUCAAAAUAUUCGUCCCCCUAUGUUGAGUUCCAACAAUGUAUAAAUUACAAAUUUAGCUAGAGGUCUUUUCUUGUUUGUAAGAAAAUAAGACGAUACUACAAUCCUUAUAUUUCAAGAAUGAUCAUUUGUCCCAGUGGUUAGGUUGAUACUAUGUACUUGGUCCUGAGUUCAAAUCCUAACUCCCAAUCUUGUUGUGCGUGUAAUCAAGAUCAAUCUUGUAGGUAUUGUCAUUAAUCAUUUCUAACACUUGAAAAGGUCCCGUCUAGGUUGGAGCUUGGAUUUUCUUUGUCUAGAUUACUUUCUUUCUUCCUUUGUUAACUUGUUUAGAAUAACCUUCAUCUUUUUCUUCAACUUGUGCUUCAACCUUUUUAUGCUGCUUUCUCACAUAGUCAACCUUAGCUUGUGUAUCUUUAUGCUUUAAAACAAAAAUGUUAGGCAUAGUUAACAAAUCUAUUGGAGUUAAAGGAUUUAAUCCAUACAAAAUUUCAAAUGGAUCACAAUUCGAUGUGCUGUCAACAACCAUAUUGUAAGCAAACUCAAUAUGAUGUAAACAUAAUUCUUGGAUAGCCGUCACCUUUUCAUAAUCUACAUGAACUCCUUUGGCACUUACCACAAAACACAAGAAUGCAAUUUGUUCAGUACAAAAUGUGCAUUUCUCAAGAUUAGCAUACAACUUUUCUGUUCUAAGAACAUUUAAAACAGCACACAAAUGUUCCUCAUGUAAUUCCAAACUAGUUCUAUAGAUCAAGAUAUCAUCAAAAUACACUACAAAAAAUUAGCCCAAAAAUUCUCUCAAAACAUAGUUCAUUNNNNNNNNNNNNNNNNNNNNNNNNNNNNNNNNNNNNNNNNNNNNNNNNNNNNNNNNNNNNNNNNNNNNNNNNNNNNNNNNNNNNNNNNNNNNNNNNNNNNGACAGUUUUCCAUUUAUUCCCAUUCCUAAUCCUAAUUGAUGGGUAACCACUUCUUAAGUCAAUUUUUGAAAAUAUACAACCACCAUACAAUUCAUCCAUUAAAUUAUCUAACUUGGGAAUAUGGUGUUUAUACUUAAUGGUAAUGUUAUUGAGUGCUCUGCAAUUUGUGCACAUCCUCCAAUAACCAUCAUUUUUAGGCACCAAAAUUACUGGAACAGCACAUGGGCUCAUGGUCUCUUGUACCCAUCCUUUGUUCAUCAAUUCUUCAACUUGAGUUUGGAUUUCCUGCAAAACAGAAUCAACACUAGGAAGCAAAUUAAUUUGGUUAGAAUGGUCAGCAACCAAAGUGCUGUUUUUGCAAUAAGGUAAAUAAAGAGGUUUGCUAGAAAGUAGCAACUUCUUCACUUUAUUCACUUUCAGUAAUCCACUCAUUUUUCUCUCAUGUGUUUCUUUCUUUUUAAGUGUUUCACUCUUGCUCUGUUUAGGUGUUUCACUCAUCUCUCUUUUCUCUUGGACUCUCUUUUCUCUCAAUUUGAUUUGAUCCUUACACACCUCUCUAGGAGAUAAGGGUUUGAGAAUGAUCUUCUUAUUAUUCUGCAUGAAAGAGAUUUUAUUGGUGAAACCAUCAUGAAUAGCCUUGGUGUCAAACUGCCACGGCCUCCGUAACAAAAUGUGAUUUGCCUCCAUUGGAACCACAUCACACAAGAGAUUGUCAUUAUAUUGUCCUAUGAAUAUGUGCACUUCCACUUGCUUACUCACUGUCAUCUCUCCAUCUUCACUAAGCCAUUGAAGCUUGUAUGGCAUUGGGUGCGGUUUUGUCUCCAAAUUCACUUUGGUAACUAGUCUUGAACUUGCUACAUUGGUGCAACUUCCUCCAUCAACUAUGAGUGAACAUAUUUUCCCUUGAAUGGAACAUCUAGUAUGGAAAAUAUUUUCCCUUUGGGUUUGGUCCAAAGCUUGCAUUUUGCUUCCUAAAAGCCUUCGAAUCAUCAACAAAUCACCCUCCAAUGUAUCCAACUCCACCUCUACCUCAUCCUUCUCUUCUUCACUUAAAGGUUCAUUGACUAUUUGUGUCUUUGAUAAACUGAUCAUAUUCUCUUUUUGUUGGACAUUCUGAAGCAUAAUGUCCUCUUCCCAAGCAUUUGAAACAUUUUACCUCACUUGUUUUCCUUUUAGGUGGUGAAUUACUAUAUCUAUGAGGUGACUUCCCACUUGAAGAUGUGACUAAACUUGAGGGAACUCCUUUAUCCUUCAUCGCCUUAUCCUUCCAAUUGAAAUUUUUAUUAUUUUUAGAACUCCUCAUGAUUCCCUUCCUCUUGAGUUGUUGUUCUACUUGGUUAGUCUUGUGCAACAACUCUUUCAUGUCAACAUACUCUUGCAGGUCCACAACAUCCUUAAUAUCAUGAUUGCUUCGUUUUCUUCAUUUUUUCCAGCUCUAAUCAUGGUCACCUCCAUCUCUUUAAAAUACUCUUCCACACUUCUAUUCCCUUGAGUCAUUCUUUGAAGUUUGAGUUGCAAAUCCCUAUUGUAGCUUGCUGGAAUAUAUCUCUUCCUCAUAAUCCUUUUCAUUUCUGUCCAAGUGUUCACCAUGGGUUCCUCAUAUUUAAUUCUCUCCAUUUGGUAUUUAUUCCACCAAGUUAAGGCAUAAUGUGAAAAUUCAGCUGUUGCCAACUUCAUCUUUUGCUCAUCAUUAUACUCACUGCAAGCAAACACAUGCUCUACUUUAAUUUCCCACUCCAAGUAAGCAUCAGGAUCACUUUUUCCAUUGGAUGUAGGAAUAUUUAAUUUUAUUCCAUCAAUUCUCAGAGUUCUUUGUUCUCCCUCAUUUUCUCUUCUCCUCCUCCUAUCUCCCCCUCUAUUUUCUGGAUUUACUUGUUGUGCUUGCUCCAUUUGAUCCAACCUCUCAUGGAGUCCAUCACUUUGUUGUUUCAUUAUCCUUUCCAAGUGUUGUGUUAAGGCUUGCAUCUGUACUUGAGAAAGUCCACUAUCUAACGAUUCCCCUGCCAUGCUCAAGUAAACAGAUUACAAAUAACAAUAAGUUUGGGCCUCACACCACUUUCUCACGUGUUUACACUCAACACUCGUGUUUUACACAAUAAGGUUUUUUUAAUGAUCACACUGCCUUUUACCACUCUUUCUCUACUUAAGGUUCUUACAAGAAUCAAGAAAUCAAUAAUCCAUAAUCACUUUCACUAUAGCAAUCAGAAUCAAUUAAAAAUAAUAGUAAAGAACAAAAUAGUGAAGAACAAUUUCACUAUCAACAAACAAGCAAAACAAUUAAAAAAAAUAGCAAGCAAAACAAUAUAUAGAGAAAAUAAAAUAUGUAGACAUGACACUUUUAGAACUUUUAUCAAACACCAAGUAUGCACUGAAUAAAAGCUAUUUUUUUUUCUGUUUUCCUCUUGUUCUUUUUUUUUCUAUUUCUGUUUUCCUCUUGUUCUUUUUUUUUUCUAUUUCUGUUUUCCUCUUCUUCUUCCUUUUUUUUUCUUUUUUUCUAUUUCUUUUUUUUUUUCUGUUUCUUCUUUCGUUUAAAAAAAAAAUGAACAGUACCUGUGAACAGUAACCGUGAACAGUGCCCCUGUGAAAAGUACCAGUGAACAGUACAAUGUGAAUAGUACAAUGUGAACAGUAAUGAGGAGAAAAAAAAACAGGCACAAUUAUAUUAUGACUCAAACCUUUGCUUUGAGUACCAACUGAUAUGAAUCCAAAUAGAAAUGACAGUAAAAUUGGGAAUUUAGGGUUACGGAACGGAAUAAAUUAAAAACAAUAACAAUAGAAACCUGGAUAAAGGAAGACGCCACAAACAAAGUUUGAUCAGCCUAAGGAUGAUCACUACAAGAAUUGGUGGAUUCUUGAUAAGAUCGCAAGAUGCAGGAAAAUAUCUAGCAGAGAAACACUCUCUAAAUUGUCAAAAUAUUUGUCCCCCUAUUCUGAGUUCCAACAGUGUAUAAAUUACAAAUUUAGCUAGAGGUCUUUUCUUGUUUGUAAGAAAAUAAGAUGAUACUACAAUCCUUAUAUUUGAAGAAUGAUUAUUUGUCCCAGUGGUUAGAUUGAUACUCCAGUUGGAUGUACGCAUCACCAAACCCGAGGCCUCACUAACACUCUCAUAAUUAACACUCUCAUAAUUGAUCACCUUAAGUUUGUUUCUUCUUGUUAUGGUCUUGAAAAGAGAUUAUAGUAACUUGGAUUCGAUCUUUUCUUUCAUCAAACAUAUAGUAAUAAUGGAUUUUUUAUUCUUUAUAUUUCUUUUUGUUAACAAACUAGAUACAUUUUUUUUUUCAUAAGCAAAAUAAUUUAGUAGUAAAAGAAAGCUAAACUUGAGCAUAACAUGUACGGUAAAGAAUUGAAAUGACUCCAUUAAUCAUUGAGGAUCAUAAACAAAAACGAUCAUGGUAUACAAAAUAACAACUAAUCCAAACCUAGAAAUAACAUAAGCACAAACUCUGAACUCUUAUUCUUUUAUCUCCUUCACAAACCUCUGAAGGUUCUCAUAAGAUGUACCUCCUUUUGCUAUGUUCUUCAUCACUUUCUCCUUCAACACCACACACCUACAUUUUAUGCUCUCAUCAUUAAAUAAUUGUUCCACCUUGGUUUUCAGCUCCCCGCGUGACACAACUCCAUUUUGAUCUUUGUCAAUUCCCAACCCAACCUUUAACUCAUCACAAAUAUGUGUUUUGUUGUAAGGUUGGUCUCCAAAGUAUGGCCAACACAACAAA
rnacentral:lncRNA from 1 species